GGGGCUGCUCGCUAUAGCAACUUCAUUCACUCUUCUUCUACUAACUACUUGCUCGCGAUAGUUUUAGAGAAAACUGCUGUGGAAAACUCGGCCAGAAGCUAGCAUGUAUCAAGUGAAUCCACAACAUCACCACAAACGUCUUUUCAAGCCAGAAAUGUUAAUGGAUAACAGUAGCCGUGUAGAGGAAGACUGGAUACGAAGAAGAGUGAAGGAGACAGGAGGAAAGGUAUGAUUACAGAGCCUGCCAAUGUAUCAUUCCAAACUAUGUUUUUCAGAUAAAAUACAAAAAUGAGGCAAGCAAUGGGAAUCUGUUAACCAAAGUAUUUUAUCUAAUAGUAUGCUAUUUAUUAAUACAGAUUGGAGAGGAAGGAAUAAUUAAUGGAGUAAAGAGUGAAGCAAGGAGAGUGUAGAAGAGUGAGGUGGAAAGGUGAAGAGAAGGAAAGGAAGGAAGACGAGUGAAGAAAAGAAUAAAAAGUUGAGUAAGAAGAGUGACAAGGAGAGUGAAGAGAAGACAGAGGAGAUACAAUGACUCUUUCCAAGAAACGGAAAUGCACUCAUGAAAAACAGAAUUUCCAUUUAUAAACUCAGGUCAAGACAAUCGAAUGGUUCACUGCACCCUUUGUAAUUCCUCUCUUUCAGAACGGCAGAGGUAGAACAUCAGCAGACGAAAAAGCAUAAAGCCUCUGAGGGCCUGUGUUAGUAUGCCCCCUGGCUGAGACGCAAAGAAAGUUCAAGGAGAGGGGCUACAAGAAUGAUCAGAUUAAUAUUGCCAUUGAGAAAAUUCAAAACAAAACAUGACCUUUUUCAAGGUCAGUCUCUCAAAAAGACACAUUCUUGCAUUUUAACUACCUGCUAUUCAAAGUGCUCUGAACAAAUUAAGGGAAUUGUUCAAACAUUGGCACAUCCUAAAAUCCAAUGAUAGUCCUGGUAAUGUGUUUUCGGACCUUCCCUUGGUCGUAUUCUCGCGGGGCAGAAAUCUGAGACCAAUUGGUAAACUCUGAUUUACCACCCCAAGAUAUUCCUGAACAACAUCUAUUUGCGCCCCUACUGGAUGGAAAUUACAAAUGUAAUGGCUGUGCUCAAUGCAAUGGCACUUAUAAAUGUAGAUCCUUCAAACACCCACAAACAGGGAAAUCGAUCCCAAUAAAAGGUGUUAUUACGUGCUCCAUUAAGGCAGUUAUUUAUCUUAUAACCUUUCCUUGUGGUAAAAAAAUAUGUAGGUAAAACAAAGCGCGAAUUAAAAGUACGUAUCUCAGAGCAUCGUAGCACCAUUAAGUGUUAACUUUACUUAUCCAGUUGCGGCCCACUUCUUGGAGGCAGGCCACUCGAUUUCGUCUCUGCGUUAUAUUGGCAUCGAACAUGUCACCCUCCCUAGGAGAGGGGGUGACCUUGAUAAUUUAUUGUUAAAACGAGAGGCUGACUGGAUCUUUAAUUUAAAGACCCUUGCUGCCUGGAUCUUUAAUUUAAAGACCCUUGUGCCCUUCGGUCUCAAUGUAGACUUUGAUCUGAAGCCAUAUUUGUGAUUGUGACUUUGCCAUUGUAAUUGUUUGUAAACUUGUGUAGUCAAAUUAAUCUAUGAUCGUAUGCUAUCCAUUUGUUGUUUGUAUGCUGUUCUUUGUAUGACAUUUUAAUAUUUGAUUAUUAACCAAUGAUAUUAGGCCACUCUUGGCCAUGAUUACAGACACCUGUUUAUAUAGUGUCAAGACAUGAGUCAUCCCGCAGUGUUUGUGAUUAUACCCUGAUGAAGACAGCUUGGCUGUCGAAACGUUGUAUGCCCUCCUGUCACCACAUUCUUCAAGAAGGUAGAGCCUU